AACGAACGCUGGCGGCGUGCCUAACACAUGCAAGUCGUGCGAGAAAGUUCCUUCGGGAGCGAGUAAAGCGGCGCACGGGUGAGUAACACGUAGGUAACCUGCCCCCCAGUCUGGAACAACUAGAGGAAACUCUAGCUAAUGCCGGAUGAGACCACGAUCCCUUCGGGGGUUGCGGCCAAAGAUGGCCUCUACUUGUAAGCUAUCGCUGAGGGAUGGGCCUGCGGGCCAUUAGCUUGUUGGUGAGGUAACGGCUCACCAAGGCUGGUGAUGGCUAGCUGGUCUGAGAGGAUGACCAGCCACACUGGGACUGAGACACGGCCCAGACU
rnacentral:rRNA from 1 species